rnacentral:tRNA from 1 species
CGCAUGAAGUAUAAAAUACAUUUAAUUUCGACCUAAAAAAAGAGGAUUUCUCCAUGCUUUG